ACGAACGCUGGCGGCGUGCUUAACACAUGCAAGUCGAACGGGUCUGCCCUGUUUUUUGCGGGGUGGGUCAGUGGCGAACGGGUGAGUAACACGUGAGUAACCUGCCCCUCACUUCUGGAUAACCGCUUGAAAGGGUGGCUAAUACGGGGUGUUCUGGCUGUGCCGCAUGGUGUGGCUGGGAAAGAUUCACUUUUGUGGUGUUUUGGUGGGGGAUGGGCUCGCGGCCUAUCAGCUUGUUGGUGGGGUGAUGGCCUGCCAAGGCUUUGACGGGUAGCCGGCCUGAGAGGGUGGGCGGUCACACUGGGACUGAGAUACGGCCCAGACUCCUGCGGGAGGCAGCAGUGGGGGGUAUUGCACAAUGGGCGGAAGCCUGAUUCAGCGACGUCGCGUGAGGGAUGGAGGCCUUCGGGUUGUGAACCUCUUUCGCCGGUGAAGAAGGUCCUGCUCUUUGUGGUGGGGUUGACGGUAGCCGGGUUAUGAAGCGCCGGCUAACUACGUG
rnacentral:rRNA from 1 species